AUCGCCUCGUUCUAGAUUCUACGUCUUCUUCUCAGUCUAAGGGGUGUCCUGAGGUCAUAGCUGUUUCGGUUUAAAUAACUGUUUUAUUGUUCAGAUCACAUUGAACAAUGGUGAAGGCUGUGGCAGUCCUUGGCAGCAGUGAGGGUGUCACUGGAACUAUUUACUUCAGUCAGGAGGGAGAUGGCCCAACCACUGUAACAGCAAAUCUUGCUGGUCUCAAGCCUGGUCUCCACGGUUUCCAUGUCCAUGCCUUGGGGGACACUACAAAUGGUUGCCUGUCUACUGGAGCACAUUUCAAUCCUUUUGGAAAGGAGCAUGGUGCUCCUGAAGAUGAGAAUCGUCAUGCUGGUGAUCUAGGAAAUGUUAAUGUUGGUGAUGAUGGAACUGUCAGCUUCUCUACUACCGACAAGCAGAUUCCUCUGACUGGACCAAACUCCAUCGUAGGAAGGGCAAUUGUUGUCCAUGCUGAUCCUGAUGAUCUUGGAAAAGGUACCCACAAAUCUGUUUUUAUUCCUUGAUUUGAGUUAUUGAUCAUCCAAUUAUUAUGUUUCUCAUACAUUCAACAAACAAACCUUUGUCAUUGCCCCAAAAACUUGAGCAAACUUAACGCAGCUUUUAUAAUUAUACAUGCGUUGUUUGAUCUUCACAACUUACAGUUAUCAUGCUUCCCACGAACAUGAGCAAAUCUUGAUCUAUUCUGUUUUGCCUUUCUUACAUAUUACCGCUAUUCUUUAUUUUAUGCUGAAGCUUUUGAUAUUAUGUUGGCUCACUACGUGUUAUUCGUUGUACUCUUGGGUAGGUGGUCAUGAGCUUAGCAAAACUACUGGAAAUGCUGGUGGCAGAGUAGCAUGUGGUGUUAUUGGCUUGCAAGCAUAAACUUCUAAUCUAAAUCACCGGGAUACAUGAAAAAGUGCGUGUGGUCAUAUGUGGGAGCCUUAGAAUUGUGGAAUAAACGCACCCAUUUAAGUCCGUUUGUUUAGGUCCGGUCUGUACUGGUGAAUUCUGUGUUUUGCUUGUAUCGUAUCUGAUGGCUAUAUGUCGGCACUUGAUGCUUAAUCUAGUUAUUACUUUUGCCUGAAGUUUGUGUUAGUGGUAAUCAUUAUUUCCUCUGUUAUUAGAUUGUGGUAGUCUCUCAGAAAUGCGAGGUUUUUAUGGCGACUAAGUUUUUUUUCCAGCUCUAAACGAUGAUAAUACCUACGAACUAUUUACAAUGUGGAUAAU